CCCACCGAGUUGGGCCUCUCUUCCUCUUCCUCUCUGGUACAACCCACUGAGCAACCACUGGCCGAUUCUGUUGCCAAACGUUUCUUAAACAGAAGUAAACGAAUUUGUCCAAUAGAAAACUCUCUUUUUAGUUACAAAACGAAAUUAUUUUGACUAAUGAUUCCACCUCAGGGAGCAAGCUGUUCAGUGCUAAGGAAUGUGUAACGUUAGCGUCUUUCACAUUUAUCAAGAGCUGGAUUUUGAAAUAACCAUGUCACGUUUGCUAACGUUACAUUGAAGAAUACUUUGAUUGCCGGUGAUGGUAACCUAAGACAACAUGAGAGAAGAAACGGCUGAUCAAGCUAACGUUAUUGUCUGCCCUUGAGAGAUUUGCGGGAAUCGUUUUAGUAGAAAAAUCUGGUCCUAACGAACUUGAAAUAUGCAAGCCUAGCCACCUGGCAAUAACGUUACAUCUUCCAGAUGGGGUGUAGUGCUACUUCUGUGUACCACAGUAAUGCAGUGCUACUUUGACAAUUUGGAUUGAUAGCUUAGGCCUACUUGUGUUGAUUAGAUCAUCAUCCAAUAUUACACAAUUUCCAUCAUUUUGGGGGUUCUGUCAAACAUUACUGUAUUUCACACAUUUCUGACUGAGGGUUAGUAAAAUCAGCUUCCUGUCGAGAUGUUUUCAGCUCUGAAGAAGCUAGUUGGUUCUGAACCAGGCCAGCCGAGGGACAAGAACAUCCCCGCUGGUAUGCAGUCCAUGAAUCAUAGUUUACAGAGACGCUUUGCCAAAGGAGUACAGUACAACAGUAAGUUGUAUUUUUUUUAAUGCAUAUAGCAUUAUAUGAUAUAGUAAACUACCAGUCACAAGUUUGGACACUUACUCAUUCAACGUUUUUUCUUUAAUUUGACUAUUUUCUACAUUGCAGAAUAAUAGUGAAUACAACAAAAUGUUUAAAUAAUAGUAACCAAAAAAAGUGUUCAACAAAUCAAAAUAUAUUUUAGAUUCUAAGUAGCCACCCUUUGUAUUGAUGACAGCUUUGCACAGGGCACAUUAUAGAAACCCUUUGGUUCCUCUGCCCAUUAUAGGGGUGCCAUUUGAGCAAGUGACGAUGAAUCUGGUGGGUCCGUCUAUUACCACAUACGGUGCAUUCGUAAAGUAUUCAGAACCUUUCACUUGAUUGCUGACGUGUAUAGGGUUGAACCAUGAGUUUACAUGGACACACAGGCUUUUUUUUAAAGGGAUACUGUCCAGUAUGAAAGAAGUUAGGAGUUUCGUGAGCUAAUGCUAACUAGCAUUGGCACCGACAAUUCUACCACACUCACUAAUUUUGCCCAUUCUAACAUUAAAUCGGACAGUAACUGAAUGCCUCGAUGCAGGUCUUCCUGCUUUAUAUAACAAGCCACAGCCACUGUCUGUAGGAGCGAUCCAUUUUCGUGAACAGGGUGGUGUACCUAAUAAACGGUCCAUUGAGUGUAUAACCUCAGAAGCAUAGCAGGGCUGCCUCAAAUGGCAACCUAUUCACUAUAUAGUGCACUACUUUUUAGGACUCUGGUCAAAAUUAUUGCACUAUAUAGGGGAAUGAGGUGCCAUUUGGGACACAACCCAGGUGAGUGGUUAGAUUAGGUUAGAUUAGAUUAGAUUAGGGUUAGGAUCAUACUUCGGUUUCUCUAGGGGUUCUGGCUCCUUGCAGGCUUGGCCAACUGGGUUUCUCUCCGCCUCCUCUGAUGUUACCAGGUGGAACUUUGCCUCUACUUUCCCCUGAAGGUGUUAACAAACACAACAUGUUAACGGCCCUCAAAUUCAACUCUGGACCUAAAAACCAGUUUGUGGCGAAAUCCUGCACGGAGCCUUCACCGUGCGCUGCCACUUUAAGAGCGCAUCAGCAGUAAGGAAGGAGGAAAUAAAGACAGCUUUUUCAGAUCUUUGGAGAGGAGCUCUUGGUUGGCGCGACAGUUGAUUGUGUGUGCUAUGCUGCAGAAGUUUGGUUUAUUUUCAGCGUGUGUAGUUUAUAAAGUAUUUAACUCAAUCAUCAGUGUGACAGUUAUAGGUCGUAGUUGUUAUUGUUUGGGACCGCGCUGGUUAUGGAUUGCAUAGAUUAGUAGCUUUGCGAAGCUUUGACAUACAAACCAACAAGCCAUCGGAUGGUCAGACAGUACACCGGCAUGCCUGAAGACCACAGCUAAGAUCUCUCUUGUUCUCUCUCUCUCUCUCUCUCUUCCCUUUCUAUUUUUUCAAAUGCACUUCCCAUUGAAGUUCAUUAGAGCUGAACUAUUAUUUCCCUGCCAGAAGUAUUUUGGUGGACAUUUUAGUGAAAUGUGAGGUUGCUUGUAAGUUGUGUAUUGUUAUUUGAACUGUAUUGAGGUGGGUGUACUAAUGACAUGUGGCCGAGAAGAUUGUGGACAUUUUUAAGGCCUUUGUGUCUAAGAACACCCCCCACAUUCAUACCCUCUGUACUUCUCCACUGGAAGAUAAUACAAAUGACUGCAAAUCCUCUGUUAA